ensembl:lncRNA
UGCUAUGCAUUGUGUGAAGAGAAGCUCUUGUGGCAGCUGAUGGAAGCAUUACCCAAAAUCAAAUGCAAUGUCCCUGAAGGAAGGAACAGAGCAGUGACAGCUGCCACAACCCUUCACAGCCAGCUCCAUGCUCCAUGAGCUGACGAGGUUCUGCACGAGCAGGUGGCUGAGGAGGGCUCUGCCAGGGCAAGGCCAGUGCUCUUGGUGCUGCAGUGUGGGGCACAUCAGUUAAUUGACACAAUCAGACUAACACCCAAAUUGUUCCUCUAAGGCUUGGAACAGACAAGUGAUCUCAUUUGAAAACAAAAGGAACUCAGUGAAUUCUGAAGAGCCUGAUUUUUAGUCUUCUUCCUGAAGUGGACGCCAG